rnacentral:rRNA from 1 species
UACGAAGGGGGCUAGCGUUGUUCGGAUUCACUGGGCGUAAAGGGUGCGUAGGCGGUCGGGUAAGUCUGAUGUGAAAUCUCACAGCUUAACUGUGAAACUGCAUUGGAUACUAUUCGGCUAGAGAGUUGGAGGGGGGACUGGAAUUCUUGGUGUAGCAGUGAAAUGCGUAGAUAUCAAGAGGAACACCAGUGGCGAAGGCGAGUCCCUGGACAACUUCUGACGCUGAGGCACGAAAGCUAGGGGAGCAAACAGG